GGCCUCCACCCAUUAUGCAUUGCAGGCUUCCAGCCCAUUCUCGCAACGCCUCGUCCCCUUCCCCGACACCGCCGCCGCUGAAGGGAUCUCAGGCAGCGGCGCCCUUCCCUCCUCUUGCUCGCUCACUAACAAUCGGAACCCGGCGACGAUCUCCUCCGCCCCUCUGCACCGCGCCCCAUGGCAACCCUCGCCUUUCGUAUCCGUAGAAAAAAAUCUCUUCGCUCGAUACAGAGGAACUGGCCAGGCUGGGGAGUGAGGAAGGGGAUUUGUGCGUGCGGGGUUGCGGAGGGGGUUUGAUUCGGUGAGCCUGGGGCGCGGGGGCGGGCGGACGGGCCACUGGACCUGCACCCACUGGUCGGCAUCGACGACGACAGGGACGCACGCGCAGCGCGGCAGCCCGAGUUGACACCCAUGGAGCGCGUUGAGCAGGUGCCUCUGUCUUUCUCCUCAGCUCUGAUCUCCUUCGUUGUCUAAAUUCCGCCAAUCUCCCCUCCUUUGAAAAUCCCCUUUUUUGGAUCUCCUCUGCUAGCGCAUCUACAGGUACAGAUUUAUUGCUCAUCGCAUCAUGUUUUCUGUUGUUAAAUUAAGGUGGUUCUAUUUGUUAUACAUUUUCCAUUUGAAGCAAUUAUUAACUUCAUGAUUUUUCACUGGUUGAUAGGAUUUGGCCGCAUUUGUAUUGAUCUUCCCUGAAUUUAUCCUUCUCCUAUUUCCAUUAGUUAACAUGACACAUAGAAGGUAAAUUCUGGGUUCCAUGUAUACGAUUGAAGUUGUUACAUGCACAGUAGCUAUUUACAUUGUACUAUCAAUCUGCGGGUUAGGAUCGUAACUUUCAAAGUUGUACUUUCUGAAAGUGUUGACUUCUUGGGUUGCUGAUAUAUGUCAGUGAAAUCCGAGGCACCACUACAAACACAAAACAAUGAUUUUCUUUAGGAGAUUAUAAGCAGGUUUGUCUAUAAGGCCAAGUUAACGGUAACUACAGUUAAUGCCAUAUAUUCCUAAUAGACAAACCUGCUUAUAGACAGUGGAUGUUGCUUUUGGCACUUCUUGUGCUUAUAGACAGUGGAGUACUUCUGCACCACUUUGCAGGUCACUCACAAGGCAGUGGGUGUUGCUUUUGGCAUAUUUGAUCCUGGCCAUGUUAGAUAUGUAUAAGUAAAACAUUACUGUUUGUGAAAAUUGAAUGGUAAAAUUACCAUGCAAUCAAAUUUAAGACGUUUCAUUUAUCAGCCUCUCACCCAAAUUUUCCUUUAAUCUUGUGUAAGAUUUUUUGUGCGGUAUUAUAGUGCCUUCAUUACAUUAUGAAUAAUUUCACUCAAGAAAGUUUGAAGAGGCUAGUGUUGCUCGCACCCAAGUUAUUUUUAGAAUGCUUCCCUGCAUAUUCUAUGGACUCCUAUUGUAGGUUUGCUAUUUGCUAGACAAUCAUCUACAUACUUAAGAAAAUGAAAUGUAUAUUGACUAUUGUUAUUUAUGUAAGGUCGUAGUACAACUGAUUAUAUCUAUUAUGACUAUAUUACAUGCUUGCUAAUAAUAAUACCAUCUCCAAACAUAGCAUUUGCAUACUGAUGAAAUGUAGCCUAAGUUCGAACAAGUGUGUCAUAGCGUAGCUUAUGAAUAAUACCUUUUCAGAUUGGUACAUGCCAUUUUUUGCCCUGAAACUGUAGGUUACAGAAGCUCUUCUGAUAUUCUAUAGCUCAUAUUUCGUUUUAUUAUAUAUAUAGGUAUUACAUGGUUAGUGUUUGUUCAGUGAAUGGUCGGCCUAACUAGACCUGAAGCUAAUACACAUGUCCUAUCUCGGCGAGGGUAUGUGUUUGUGCAUAUUCCUCCCUGUUCAAGUGCUAACGCAGAGAAAUGCAUUAAUGAAUGUCUACUUUGGAACUAUGUAUUGUCUUUUUGCUGGUAAUAUAUUUGGCAAAGCACAACUGUCUGCAGACUAAUAUAAGACAUUUAUUGAUAAAGGAAAAAAACACAAAAUUCAGUGAGGAUUAUCUUUGCAAAUUCACUAUGAGCAUAUAGAAAGUUUGACAGAACCACAUGGUUUUCUAAGAUAAGAGCACAACAAUAAUUUAAGUGCACAAGUAUAUCUUUGCCUUAUAAUGUGUGUACUAACCGUGCAUGUAAGGAUGUGUUUUCUCCAGUGGCACACAUACAUUACAUAUCUUUAGUUAUUGCGCUUAUGACCACCUAAAAUUAUUAGGCGUGUAUAAAUUUCUUGUCAUUGGCUCACUGCUAAUCAUAUAUAUUUGUUUUUCAGUGUUACAAACAAAUGUGAGGGAGAUGAUGAUCCACAUAUUGCCAUGUAACAUAGUGUCUUCUGCCAUAUGCCGUGUGCCAUUUUGACACGUAAACUAGAUGAAUUUCUGUUGGGCCAGGACGAUUAAAAUAACUUUCUGUGAUUAAUUCAAUAUAUAGUAUGAAAUUUGUGUGGAUAGGUAACUGCAGCUGCUCUUGUGCUACAACUCACCAUGGUGACUGGUGCUUCACUAUGAGCCUGCAACCAGAUUGUGGUCGCCUUCCUGGCUUCCUCAUGUUGGACGAUCGAGGCACAAGCAUUGGGAGUAUCAAAUGCACCAACUGUUGAAGGAGCUCAUCAAUCAUCUGAGAGCAUUGCAGCUUUCCACAUCUACUUUAGUUGCAUAAGAUACUUCAUCCUUUAAUUGUAUUGCCAAUGUCACUUACAUAUAUGUAACUAAGAAAAUUAGCACUUUGUAAGGAUGUCACACUAUUACUAUUUCGACGUGUUUCGCUGAGAAGCUUUGCCAAGAUUAGUAUAGUGAUUAGUUUUAUGGAAUGUCAUUUGUUCA